rnacentral:rRNA from 1 species
GACGAACGCUGGCGGCGUGCCUAAUACAUGCAAGUAGAACGCUGAAGGAGGAGCUUGCUCUUCUGGAUGAGUUGCGAACGGGUGAGUAACGCGUAGGUAACCUGCCUGGUAGCGGGGGAUAACUAUUGGAAACGAUAGCUAAUACCGCAUAAGAGUAGAUGUUGCAUGACAUUUGCUUAAAAGGUGCAAUUGCAUCACUACCAGAUGGACCUGCGUUGUAUUAGCUAGUUGGUGGGGUAACGGCUCACCAAGGCGACGAUACAUAGCCGACCUGAGAGGGUGAUCGGCCACACUGGGACCGAGACACGGCCCAGACUCCUACGGGAGGCAGCAGUAGGGAAUCUUCGGCAAUGGACGGAAGUCUGACCGAGCAACGCCGCGUGAGUGAAGAAGGGUUUCGGAUCGUAAAGCUCUGUUGUAAGAGAAGAACGAGUGUGAGAGUGGAAAGUUCACACUGUGACGGUAUCUUACCAGAAAGGGACGGCUAACUACGUG